UCCUACGGGGGGCAGCAGUGGGGAAUAUUGCGCAAUGGGCGAAAGCCUGACGCAGCGACGCCGCGUGGGUGAUGAAGGCCUUCGGGUCGUAAAACCCUGUCGGGUGGAACGAAUCUCCGCCUCGCUAAUACCGAGGUGGCUUGACGGUACCACCGAAGGAAGCCCCGGCUAACUACGUGCCAGCAGCCGCGGUAAUACGUAGGGGGCGAGCGUUGUUCGGAUUUACUGGGCGUAAAGAGCGCGUAGGCGGUUCGAUUAGUCGGAGGUGAAAUCCCUCGGCUUAACCGAGGACCCGCGUCCGAUACUGUCGAACUUGAGUGCAGGAGAGGAGAGCGGAAUUCCCAGUGUAGCGGUGAAAUGCGUAGAUAUUGGGAGGAACACCGGUGGCGAAGGCGGCUCUCUGGACUGUCACUGACGCUGAGGCGCGAAAGCUAGGGGAGCAAACGGGAUUAGAUACCCGCGUAGUCCC
rnacentral:rRNA from 1 species